GGCCGGUUAGCUCAGUGGUUUGAGCAUGGUGCUGACAACAACAAAACCAAGGUUGAGGGUUCGAUUCCCGCUCGGUCC
rnacentral:tRNA from 1 species